UACGAAGGUCCCAAGCGUUAUCCGGAUUUAUUGGGUUUAAAGGGUGCGUAGGCGGGCUAUUAAGUCAGUGGUGAAAGCCCCAAGCUUAACUUGGGAACGGCCAUUGAUACUGAUGGUCUUGAGUACAUUUGAGGUGGGCGGAAUGUGUCAUGUAGCGGUGAAAUGCUUAGGUAUGACACAGAACACCGAUUGCGAAGGCAGCUCACUAAACUGUAACUGACGUUGAGGCACGAAAGCGUGGGGAGCGAACAGG
rnacentral:rRNA from 1 species